AUUGAACGCUGGCGGCAGGCCUAACACAUGCAAGUCGAACGCAGUGGGGACGGGUGAGUAACACGUGGGUAACCUCCCAUCAGAGGGGAUAACACUUGGAAACAGGUGCUAAACCGAUACUGAUGGAUGGACCCGCGGUGGAUUAGCUAGUUGGUGAGGUAACGGCGCACCAAGGCUACGAUGCAUAGCCGGCCUGAGAGGAUGAUCGGCCACACUGGGACUGAGACACGGCCCAGACUCCUACGGGAGGCAGCAGUGGGGAAUCUUCGGCAAUGGGCGAAAGUCUGACCGAGCAACGCCGCGUGAGUGAAGAAGGUUUGCGGAUCGUAAAACUCUGUUGUUAGAGAAGCGGUAUCUAACCAGAAAGCCACGGCUAACUACGUGCCAGCAGCCGCGGUAAUAC
rnacentral:rRNA from 1 species